UCCCUGGUGGCUCAGCGGUAAAGAGUCUGCCUGCAGUGCAGGAGAUGCGGGUUCGAUUCCUGGCUUGGGAA
rnacentral:tRNA from 1 species